rnacentral:rRNA from 1 species
AGUGAACGCUGGCGGUAGGCCUAACACAUGCCAGUCGAACGGCAGCACAGUAAGAUCUUGCUCUUCCGGGUGGCGAGUGGCGUACGGGUGAGGAAUACAUCGUAAUCUACUUUUUCGUGGGGGAUCACGUAGGGAAACUUACUCUAGUACCGCAUACCCCCUACCGUUGAAAGCAGGGGAUCUUCGCACCUUGCGCGAUUGAAUGAGCCGAUGUGGGGUUAGCUAGUUGGCUGGGUAAUGGCCCACCAAGGCGACGAUCGGUAGCUGGACUGAGAGACGGGUAGGCCACAUUGGAGAGGAGACACGGUCAUGAGUCCUAAGGGAGGCAGCAGUCGGGAAUAUUGGACAACGGGCGCAAGCAUGACACAGCCAUACCGAGUGGGUGAAGGAGGCCUCGGGGGUGUAAAGACCGUUUGUUGGGAAAGAACAGCAUCAGGUUAAUACCAAGCUGGUCUGACGGUACUCAAAGAAUAAGCACCGGCUAACUUCGUG